UUGAAGCAGGGCAGCCCUUCGGGGCAUGUGUGCUGCUCUUCAAGGAGGAGAGGUGGUCUGCAGGGAGAAGAGAGCAAAAGUCCAAGGGGCCAAGGGAGGGAGAUCAGGUUUUCCUUGGUUCUUGCCAGGUUUUCUGCUUCUGAUCCCUCAUGAAGCUUUGGACAUAAGGUCCCUCUCUAUUCCUUUACCUUGAGAAAGCUCCAUUGGGCAUACCAUGCUUAUUGCAUCCAAAAUUUUUCACAUGAAAGUGGAAAACUCAGAUAGCAAUUUGGUGUGUUGGUGGAAGGACCCAAUAAAAAGCAUGUCAGGAUAAGUGCUUUGGAGGAAAAGCAAGACUUCAUCCAAUCAUCAGUAGAAAGCCUUGGUGGCUGCAGUUUCUGUGA